rnacentral:rRNA from 1 species
AUUGAACGCUGGCGGCAGGCUUAACACAUGCAAGUCGAGCGGAGUACUUCGGUACUUAGCGGCGAACGGGUGAGUAAUGCCUAGGAAUCUGCCUGAUAGUGGGGGAUAACGUUCGGAAACGAACGCUAAUACCGCAUACGUCCUACGGGAGAAAGGGGGCGCAAGCUCUCGCUAACAGAUGAGCCUAGGUCAGAUUAGCUAGUUGGUAGGGUAAAGGCCUACCAAGGCGACGAUCUGUAGCGGGUCUGAGAGGAUGAUCCGCCACACUGG